rnacentral:rRNA from 1 species
AGUUGUAUCCUGGCUCAGGNUGAACGCUGGCGGUAUGCUUAACACAUGCAAGUCGAACGAGACGUUUUUUUGAAUUUAUUCUUGAAAACUGAAAGUGGCGGACGGGUGAGUAACACGUGAGAAUCUACCUUUAGGAAAGGGACAACAUUUGGAAACGAAUGCUAAUACCUUAUAUGCCUAUUUUAACAAAUAAAAGUUAGGUGAAAAGUUUUCUGCCUAGAGAGGAGCUCGCGGCUGAUUAGCUAGUUGGUAGGGUAAUGGCUUACCAAGGCGACGAUCAGUAGCUGAUUUGAGAGGAUGAUCAGCCACACUGGAACUGAGACACGGUCCAGACUCCUACGGGAGGCAGCAGUGGGGAAUUUUCUGCAAUGGGCGAAAGCCUGACAGAGCAAUACCGCGUGAGGGAUGACAGUCCUAUGGAUUGUAAACCUCUUUUUUCAGGGAGGAAGUUCUGACGUUACCUGAAGAAUAAGCAUCGGCUAACUCCGUGCCAGCAGCCGCGGUAAUACGGAGGAUGCAAGNGUUAUCCGGAAUCACUGGGCGUUAAAGCGUCUGUAGGUGGUUUAAUAUGUCUGUUGUUAAAUCUUAAGGCUUAACCUUAAACCANGCAAUGGNAACUNUUAUGACUUGNGUGUGGUAGAGGUANAAGGGAAUUUCCCAGUGGAGCGGNUNAAAUGCGUAGAUAUU